GCCUGGUGGUUCCUUGAGUCAGCUUGUCUGUGCUGAUCCUUGAGGUUUUAUCUGACAGGCACAAAUUGAUUUCUGCAAUUUAAUGCUUGGAAGUUGCCAUUCCUGUGCACCUUCCACAGCCCGGUCGCAGAAACAUGU
ensembl:snoRNA small nucleolar RNA SNORA84